GGGGAAUAUUGGACAAUGGGCGAAAGCCUGAUCCAGCCAUGCCGCGUGUGUGAAGAAGGUCUUCGGAUUGUAAGGCCCUUUAGGUGGGGAGGAAGGGUUUUGGCCAAAAUUCCAGGAAUUUGGAGGUUACCGACGGAAUAAGCCCCGGCUAACUUGGUGCCAGCAGCCGCGGUAAUACGAAGGGUGCAAGCGUUAAUCGGAAUUACUGGGCGUAAAGCGCGCGUAGGUGGUUCGUUAAGUUGGAUGUGAAAGCCCCGGGCUCAACCUGGGAACUGCAUCCAAAACUGGCGAGCUAGAGUAUGGCAGAGGGUGGUGGAAUUUCCUGUGUAGCGGUGAAAUGCGUAGAUAUAGGAAGGAACACCAGUGGCGAAGGCGACCACCUGGGCUAAUACUGACACUGAGGUGCGAAAGCGUGGGGAGCAAACA
rnacentral:rRNA from 1 species